rnacentral:rRNA from 1 species
UACGUAGGGUGCGAGCGUUGUCCGGAAUUACUGGGCGUAAAGAGCUCGUAGGUGGUUUGUCGCGUUGUUCGUGAAAACCGGGGGCUUAACCCUCGGCGUGCGGGCGAUACGGGCAGACUUGAGUACUGCAGGGGAGACUGGAAUUCCUGGUGUAGCGGUGGAAUGCGCAGAUAUCAGGAAGAACACCCGUGGCGAAGGCGGCUCUCUGGGACGGUACUGACGCUGAGACGCGAAAGCGUGGGGAGCGAACAGG